rnacentral:rRNA from 1 species
GACGAACGCUGGCGGCGUGCUUAACACAUGCAAGUCGAACGGAAAGGCCCUGCUUUUGUGGGGUGCUCGAGUGGCGAACGGGUGAGUAACACGUGAGUAACCUGCCCUUGACUUUGGGAUAACUUCAGGAAACUGGGGCUAAUACCGGAUAGGAGCUCCUGCUGCAUGGUGGGGGUUGGAAAGUUUCGGCGGUUGGGGAUGGACUCGCGGCUUAUCAGCUUGUUGGUGGGGUAGUGGCUUACCAAGGCUUUGACGGGUAGCCGGCCUGAGAGGGUGACCGGCCACAUUGGGACUGAGAUACGGCCCAGACUCCUACGGGAGGCAGCAGUGGGGAAUAUUGCACAAUGGGCGGAAGCCUGAUGCAGCAACGCCGCGUGCGGGAUGACGGCCUUCGGGUGGUAAACCGCUUUCGCCUGUGAUGAAGCGUGAGUGACGGUAAUGGGUAAAGAAGCACCGGCUAACUACGUG